UUUAUAACGGUUAUUUUUCACACAAACUGACGUUGUUAUUCUUUUAAUCCUGUUAUUCUCAGUUACUGCAUAUUUUAUUUCAAAGGUAUAAAGUCACGAAGAUCAAAUAUUCAUAGAUUGGAGACACAGUCUACAAAUACUGUAUAUGCUACAAUUGUGGCCGCAAAACCUGCACAACAAAAAUCUCUCGGAAACACAUCGGAAACAAAGAGUACGACAGUUACAUCAACAAAUAAACAACGAUCCAAAAGUACUGAAUACAACACUAAGAAUUUACAGAAAAUUACACCGAAACCAAUUCAUCGUCCUACCAAGCUAAGCAGCAGCAAUAUAGGCUCUAUUUCAGAUCCAACGACUCAACAAAGACGGAAUUCCUUGAGGGCUUCAAAAACAAAAUACUCCGCUCUUACAAUACAAAACUCUAGCACCACGCCAGAAGACCCCGUGGAAGCACAAAUUGCUUCGGAGUUAAUAAAAGAGUUAAGAGAUGAAGUACCGACAAAAAGACAAAAUAACGAAAAAUUCAAACCUCUAGCAGGAAUUCAAUUUCAAAAUACGUUCAAAAUACAUCUUAGUAGAAGUUCGCGUAUGCCUAUACCGCUGCCGGAAAAUAAUGCUUUUUGCUUUACAAACCCAAACAGCCCUUUAUGUAGGACAUUUAUAUAAUGUAAUAAAAUUAUCCAUAAUCUGUUAACUUGUUAUUGUACAUGUAUCAAAAUUUAAAAAUAAAUACAGUAAA